rnacentral:lncRNA from 1 species
GGUGGCUCAUGCCUGUAAUCCCAGCACUUUGGGAGGCUGAGGCGGGCGGGUCAUGAGGGCAGGAGAUCGAGACCAUCCUGGCUAGCAAGGUGAAACCCCGUCUGUACUAAAAACACCCAAAAGGCGGCCGGGCUUGGUGGCGGGCUCCUGUAGUCCCAGCUACUCGGGAGGCUGAGGCGGGAGAGUGGCGUGAACCCGGGAGGCGGAGCUUGCAGUGAGCCGAGAUCGCGCCACUGCA